rnacentral:rRNA from 1 species
CUUAACACAUGCAAGUCGAGGGGUAUGCCGAUUUAUCGGCAGAGACCGGCGCACGGGUGCGUAACGCGUAUGCAAUCUACCUUUCACAGAGGGAUAGCCCAGAGAAAUUUGGAUUAAUACCUCAUAGUAUAGCAAUUUCGCAUGAAACCACUAUUAAAGUUCCAACGGUGAAAGAUGAGCAUGCGUCCCAUUAGCUAGAUGGUAAGGUAACGGCUUACCAUGGCUACGAUGGGUAGGGGUCCUGAGAGGGAGAUCCCCCACACUGGUACUGAGACACGGACCAGACUCCUACGGGAGGCAGCAGUGAGGAAUAUUGGACAAUGGGCGCAAGCCUGAUCCAGCCAUGCCGCGUGCAGGAUGACGGUCCUAUGGAUUGUAAACUGCUUUUGUACAGGAAGAAACACUACUUCGUGAAGUAGCUUGACGGUACUGUAAGAAUAAGGAUCGGCUAACUCCGUG